UGGSGGGCUGCUUACACAUGCAAGUCGAACGAUGAAGCCCUUCGGGGUGGAUUAGUGGCGAACGGGUGAGUAACACGUGGGCAAUCUGCCCUGCACUCUGGGACAAGCCCUGGAAACGGGGUCUAAUACCGGAUAUGACCAUCUUGGGCAUCCUUGAUGGUGUAAAGCUCCGGCGGUGCAGGAUGAGCCCGCGGCCUAUCAGCUUGUUGGUGAGGUAAUGGCUCACCAAGGCGACGACGGGUAGCCGGCCUGAGAGGGCGACCGGCCACACUGGGACUGAGACACGGCCCAGACUCCUACGGGAGGCAGCAGUGGGGAAUAUUGCACAAUGGGCGAAAGCCUGAUGCAGCGACGCCGCGUGAGGGAUGACGGCCUUCGGGUUGUAAACCUCUUUCAGCAGGGAAGAAGCGAAAGUGACGGUACCUGCAGAAGAAGCGCCGGCUAACUACGUGCCAGCAGCCGCGGGUAAUACAA
rnacentral:rRNA from 1 species